rnacentral:rRNA from 1 species
GUGGGAUACUACCCUAGCUGUGUUGGCUUUCUAACCCGCACCACUUAUCGUGGUGGGAGACAGUGUCAGGCGGGCAGUUUGACUGGGGCGGUCGCCUCCUAAAAGGUAACGGAGGCGCUCAAAGGUUUCCUCAGAAUGGUUGGAAAUCAUUCAUAGAGUGUAAAGGCAUAAGGGAGCUUGACUGCGAGACCUACAAGUCGAGCAGGGUCGAAAGACGGACUUAGUGAUCCGGUGGUUCCGCAUGGAAGGGCCAUC